CUACUUGAUCAAAAGUAUUUUUCACCUAUUUACUAUUGGAUUUUUGUUGAAUUUCGUGGUAAGCUUUUUAGGAACUUGUAACCCAUUGAGAAUUUUUCUUAGGAUGCUAGAAAUCUAGUGGGCAACCAUGUUUGAAGAAACGAAUGAGUUUUGAAGGAUAUCCAGUGGGUUUGAUCUCACCGAAAUAGAUAAACUUUUCCUAUGUCUUCUAUAUUGUUAUUGUUAUAGAAUUUAUUUGAUGCAUGUUCAUGCUAAUCUUGAUAUAAUAGAAUUUUUGAAUACAUGAGGCAUUGUAGUACCCUUAGCUUUUGAGUUGGUGAGGAAAAAAAAAAAAAUCUUUUGAGUGGGUGGAUAAGUAUCUCACCAACUCCCUCCUGAUACUUAUCAACUCAACCCAUUGAAACUAAUUAGCCUUCUCUCUCUAUCCCUCCUUAAUUUAGCUCGUGGGCAAGGUGGAGAGCUCGAGCUCGGGUGGAGUUGCCGUGGAGCUCGGAUCGACGCCGACGUCGCGCCACGGUGCCGUUCGAGCGGGUCUUCGUCAUCGUAGCGCUGCGAGGAAGCUAGGCGAGGGUGCGUUUUCGUCGUUCUCGACGCCGCGUCGAUGUCCGAUUAGCCUUUGAGCGUCGACCGUCGGCGUUUCGACUCCCUCUCGACGUAGGAGCAGCGAAUUUCGACGAGACUUGGUUCGUUGGAUUCGGGACUUCGAGAAGAAUCCACGAAGCCCUUACUUGCUGGUUUUUGUGGAGGUUUUCUUGAGUUUGGCGGGAGCGUGAUUUCUAGCCUUUGGAGGUUUGCGGAUUGAUCCAGCAGGGUGUUCCUUUGCUUCGGGACGUCCUCGCUGCUGGGGAUUAGCAUUUUAGAGCCACAGGUGCCGGCUGCUGCAUCUUCUGCCGAUCAGGAUCGAGGCAAGGGCG